CCUACGGGGAGCAGCAGUGAGGAAUAUUGGUCAAUGGCCGCAGGGCUGAACCAGCCAAGUCGCGUGAGGGAUGACGGUCCUAUGGAUUGUAAACCUUUUUUGUCAGGGAGCAAAGGGCGCCACGUGUGGCGCUUUGCGAGUACCUGAAGAAAAAGCAUCGGCUAACUCCGUGCCAGCAGCCGCGGUAAUACGGAGGAUGCGAGCGUUAUCCGGAUUUAUUGGGUUUAAAGGGUGCGCAGGCGGAAUGUCAAGUCAGCGGUAAAAUUUCGGGGCUCAACCCCGUCGUGCCGUUGAAACUGGCGUUCUUGAGUGAGCGAGAAGUAUGCGGAAUGCGUGGUGUAGCGGUGAAAUGCAUAGAUAUCACGCAGAACUCCGAUUGCGAAGGCAGCAUACCGGCGCUCAACUGACGCUCAUGCACGAAAGCGUGGGUAUCGAACAGGAUUAGAUACCCGGGUAGUC
rnacentral:rRNA from 1 species